CUUAUAUUGGAAUUGAUUUAGACAUGGAUUCAUUUCUAAUUAGCGUAAGCAUCAGGAAGGGAAAGUCAGGGAAUCUGACUCAUCUAAAAGGUCAGAGAUGAUGUUCCCAAGAAAGUGACAUCAAAUAAAAUAGGGUUUGGUUUUGCCCUCCCAGGCUGAGAGAGAUCUCCCCUAGGCAGGGCAGGAGUUCCCCUAGGUAACUAAAUUCUGGCCGGCGCUCCCAUGUUGAGGUCUGUCUCACAGUUCCAUCUACUGUGGACAUGCCUCAUGCAAGAGGUGCCCCUGGCCCAGAGCUGGCAGUGGAGAGGGAUUUGGAACCAGAUUUCAGUGAGUCGCCACUGUCCAUUUGUGCAUCAGCACAUUGUGUCUGGAAAGUCCUGAUACGGAAACCAGCAAGGCCAUCCUUCCCUCAUGUGCCGACAGUAACUAAUGGACCCUCUCCUUUGUCCAGAUGGGGAACCUGGAGCUGAGAAGACAAAUCCAGCAGGAGCCAGACGGGCCUCUGCUUUACUGGUCAGGAGAAAGCAGCUGCUUGAUUGCCGGUCUGCCCCAUCACACUGCAGAGCUCUGGGUCACCAGCCUAAACCACUUAAUGCACAUCACACCCAGGUCUACUUGGAAAUGGCUAAGGCACUUAAAUGGAACGUCCAACCUUUGUCCUCAGUCCCCAGACCACAGGAACCCGGACUCCUGUCCUCACAGCUGGAACUUCCUCUGUGCACUAAUUGGAAAAACAUCCUCCGGGAAAUGGGGCAUCUUUAUUGAGUCAAUCUUUGGUGAUGACUGUGUCAACUGGCAAGAUGAAGUUUAUAGCACAGAAGUGAAGUCUCUGAAACCUUCCAGUGCACUGGUCCCAGGCCUGGAUCCAAGAAGCCACAUUGACUUGACCCAACCCCCAGAUAGAAAACACUAAGGGUCACCUUAGUGAAGGGCUAGCUUGAGAGACUGGAUUCAAUCCCUAAGUUCAAGAGCCAUCCCAGCUAGUGGUCCCCAAUUUUUUUCCCUUCCUUCCUCAUUAACAGUAUCCCUGAAUAUUAGCUGCAAUAUUAAGACUACAUUUCCCAGACUCCCUUGCAACUACAUAAAGUCACAUGAGGAAAUUAUGACUAAUUAGAAAGGAAGCAGAAGGAGUAUAUGGAAUUUCCAUGAAGGCUCCUUAAAAAGGGGAAUGCAUCCUUCUUUUCCCUUCCUUUCCUUGUUUUUCACUGGAGUAUAGCUAGAGACUUAGCAGCCAUUUUGAACAGUGAGGUCACUUUGGAAAUGGAGUCCAGGCCAAUGGGAGGCAAAGCACUGGACCUUCCCGGACUCUUGCAAAAGAGAAACUUUUAAAUCUUUUUUAAGGCAUUACUUUGGGAGAUUUUCUGUCAUUUGUAUUUGAAAGUAAUCUUAACUGAUAUAACAGCAUUUUAAAAAAUUUUUAUUUAAUUUUUUUCAGUGUUCGAGAAUUCAUUGUUUAUACACCACACCCAGUGCUCCAUACAAUAUGUGCCCUCAAUAGCACUUUUUUUGAUGGUGAAGAAGUAGAAGCAACCUCAGUGGCCCCUAAGAAGGGAUUGGUUAAAUUUGUUCACUCAUUUGCUUACUCAUUCACCACAUUUUAAAUGUGUGCCAACCACAUAUUUGCCUCUGUUCUAAGCAUUGAGAUAUAGUGGUAAAAAAAAAAACAAGAACUUUGUUGGAAGAUGAAGCAAGAGGCAUAAAUAAAUGGACAACCAAAAUAUAGUUUAGUUAGUGGAACCAUAGAGGCUGAGUAGUUUAAAAAAAUAUUUUAGUGAGAUAAGGAAAAUGUUCAUGGCGUAUUGCUGAAAACAGUAGGUUAUCAAGAUUAUACAAGAUAAGUCUGAUGUGUAAAACAGCAUAUAUAUUUGCAUAGAGAAAGAACAAAAUGGAUACAUAAUUAGUCUGAACAACUUGAACAGCAUUUAGCAAGCACAAAAGAAAUAGUUAAUGAAUGAAUUUAUUUCAAGGUGGAGGGACUGUUUUUUCCUUUGUAUUUUUAUUUAUAUAUUUUUUAAAGAUUUAUUUAUUUGAGAGAGAGAGGGAACAUGAGUGGAGGGAGGGGCAGAGGGAGAGAGAGUCUCAAGCAGAGUCCCUGCUGAGUGCCGAGCCUGAUGUGGGACUGGAUCUCAUGAUCCUGAGGUUAUGACCUGAGCCGAAAUCAAGAGUCUGUC
rnacentral:lncRNA from 1 species